CUGGCUCAGGAUGAACGCUGGCGGCGUGCCUAACACAUGCAAGUCGAACGGAGAUUUAACGCUGAUGAGGCUUCGGCGGAUUCUUGUUAAAUCUUAGUGGCGGACGGGUGAGUAACGCGUGGGUAACCUGCCUCAUACUGGGGGAUAACAGCUGGAAACGACUGUUAAUACCGCAUAAGCGCACAG
rnacentral:rRNA from 1 species